rnacentral:miRNA from 15 species
AUCCUCACUGAGGGCACUUUU